rnacentral:rRNA from 1 species
AGUGGACGCUGGCGGUAGGCUUAACACAUGCAAGUCGAACGGCAGCACAGUAAGAGCUUGCUCUUACGGGUGGCGAGUGGCGGACGGGUGAGGAAUACAUCGGAAUCUACUUUUUCGUGGGGGAUAACGUAGGGAAACUUACGCUAAUACCGCAUACGACCUACGGGUGAAAGCAGGGGAUCUUCGGACCUUGCGCGAGUGAAUGAGCCGAUGUCGGAUUAGCUAGUUGGCGGGGUAAAGGCCCACCAAGGCGACGAUCCGUAGCUGGUCUGAGAGGAUGAUCAGCCACACUGGAACUGAGACACGGUCCAGACUCCUACGGGAGGCAGCAGUGGGGAAUAUUGGACAAUGGGCGCAAGCCUGAUCCAGCCAUACCGCGUGGGUGAAGAAGGCCUUCGGGUUGUAAAGCCCUUUUGUUGGGAAAGAAAAGCAGCAGGUUAAUACCCCGCUGUUCUGACGGUACCCAAAGAAUAAGCACCGGCUAACUUCGUG